rnacentral:rRNA from 1 species
GAUGAACGCUGACAGAAUGCUUAACACAUGCAAGUCGAUGGGGAAGUGGUGCUUUCACCAUGGCAACCAUGGCGGACGGGUGAGUAACGCGUAAGGGACUUACCUGCAUGACUGGGAUAACAGCGGGAAACUCCUGACAAGACCGGAUAAUGUCAUUGAGCUGCAUGGCUGUAUGAUGAAAGGAGACGCCUGCGGAGAGCCUUGCGUCCUAUUAGCUAGUUGGUGAGGUAAUGGCUCACCAAGGCGAAGAUCGGUAGCCGGCCUGAGAGGGGGGACGGCCACCAGGGGACGGAGAUACGGCCCUUACUCAUACGGGAGGCAGGAGUGGGGAAUAAUGGACGAUGAGGGCAACACUGCUCCAGCAAUUCUGUGUGCGCGAAGAAGGUUUUCGGAUUGUAAAGUGAUUUCAGCAGGGAAGGAGUAAGUGAAGGUAACUGGAGAAGAAGCGACGGCUAAACACGUGC